ensembl:snRNA U6 U6 spliceosomal RNA
GUGCUCACUUUGACAGCACACAUACCUAAACUAGAAUAAUACAGACAAUAUUAACAUGGCUCCAAUGCAAGGGUGACAUGGAAAUGUGAAGCAUUCCGUAUUUUU